CUCUUGCGAUACAAAUGUAUAGCUCUGACCAGAGAUAACCAUUUGGAUCUUCCAUAGGUUCUUCAUUUUGUUUACUUCCAGUGCCAAUCAAGAUGGAGUAAGCCCACAAGAGCCCAUCUCCUCCAUGGUUUACAGCUGUAAACUCUGGACAGAAUUAUAAAAAGAAACUAACCAACGACAUGAAAAAUAAGCAACGAAAUGAAAAACAAGCAAAUAAGCUUGGCAAGGAAAGUCAAAACUUGAAAGACAAAAAUCAGCGGUGAAUUUCCUGGUUAUUUUCCCUCCUUUAAUUUUCAGUUUUGACAAGAGAUUAGUCUCUUUGCUAAACUGCACUCCCCCAAGAAAAACAUCAGUGUGAGUACCUAAAAACUGGAGAGAUCAAGUCCUCUGGCCAGAGGAAGAAUGCCCUGAAGAACGAAUAAGGUGUUUCAAGGAACUCUCCUUUUUAUUUUAUUAUUUUUUCUUACUCUCUGCCUCUCAAUGGCAGCCCAGUUACCCACAGCUGAACAAGAACACAGAGGCUGAAACCCUGAAGUAAACUAAUCUUUCUGGCUAGAUGAAAUGGGAGAGGGACCUCCAGGAGAAAGAGCGUACAGAGGAAUCACAAAGAAGGAGAUUUAAAGAAGUUUGUCCACUAAUUCUGUAUCACACACCAGGGUUCAAGAUGACAUCUGUAGUAUCAUAUAAAGAGUUCAGCUAUAGGUGCUAUCUUGGAAAGGAGAUUCUCUGGAGGUCAAGCUUUGGAUAAUCUCAAAGGAAAACACCUCCCAAACAUUUGUGUUCCCUCUGUAAAUCUUGAAAAUCCUGAAUCCGGAUUGUUUCAUCUGGCAUAAACCUUCAGGUUUGCAAAGUAAGGAGAGAGGCCCGCAGACAGGAGCAGAAAGGGCGUGGCUCAGAGGAAACGCAUGAGGUAUGGCAGCUGUACCCAAGUCACUAAACCAGAGUCAGCGGGAAGAGGGGGUGACACCGUGUGACCUCUGGGACUCCCGGCAGUCUUUUACACUUAACGGACCACGCCACGAAUUAAUUUGGGCAGUCAUUCAGUCACUCAUUCAUUCAACAAAUACUUGUUAAGCUUACCUUCUAGGGGGUGGAGGGAAGUGUAUUAAUGAGCAUUUUGGAAAAUGACAAAUGUUUCAGAAAGAUCCAAGGGGAAGAAAUAAGGAGUGUAAAGACCCGCGUAGGCCACUUUCUUCUGCUGUGAUCCUUUCCCACCAUCCCCAAAUGUCCUUCUGCCUCCCACCCUCAUGUCUUUUUCACAUGCUAUUUUCCCUGCCUCAGAUGCCUUUUCUGUCCUCUGCUUAGAAAACCCAUAAUUAUGCUUUAAGAUCCAACAGAAAUACAUGCCCCGUGAGGCGCUUUCUUUGCUCAACUGCUUGAAAAGAAAGCAACUCGAGGAAUUAGUGUGCUUUAUCUAGUGAUUUUUGCCAUAUUUUGUGAAUGUACUUUUAACAACGUUUUUCAUAUUACCAGUUUCAUUUAUUUUCCCUUCUCUUACCCUAUAUUAGUUUAUGAGCUACUUGAAAGGAGGAAUUAUGUGUACGUAUUUGUUAGCAUAGGUCAGGGGUUGGCAAAACUUCUCCAUGAAUUGUAAUGUUCAGAGAUACCUCCUGAGUGCAGAUAGUUUAGGCUUUGUAGGCCUUAACCAUCUUUGCUGCAACUACUAAACUCUGCCGCUGAAGCAGGAAGACAGCAAUACGCAAUUUGUAAAUGAAUGAAAUGGCCAUGUUCCAACAGAAGCUUAUUUAACAAAACAAGGCAGAGG